rnacentral:sRNA from 1 species
CCUAUGUUCUGGAGAUUAGCAAUGAGGAACUUGAGGCAAGUCACUAGCCCCUGAUCAUUUCACCUAAAAGAGCAAGGACUAGAGUUCCUGACCUCCAGGCCAGUCCCUGAUUCCUGACCUAAUGUCACCGAGCAAUGAUGAUAUAUACAUCUACGGGGGCCUGGGGCUGGGCGGGCUCCUGCUUCUGGCAGUGGUCCCUCUGUCCGCCUGCCUGUGUUGGCUGCAUCGAAGAGAACACUGCCUGGCCCUGGAGCCACUG